rnacentral:tRNA from 1 species
GCCUGAGUGGCUCAAGUGGUAGAGCACGUGACUCUUGAUCUCAGGGUUGUGAGUUCAAGCCCCAUGUUGGGUG